rnacentral:rRNA from 1 species
GACGAACGCUGGCGGCGUGCUUAACACAUGCAAGUCGAACGGAAAGGCCCUGCUUGCAGGGUACUCGAGUGGCGAACGGGUGAGUAACACGUGGGUGAUCUGCCCUGCACUUCGGGAUAAGCUUGGUAAACUGGGUCUAAUACCGGAUAGGAGCCAUCUUUAGUGUGGUGGUUGGAAAGUUUUUUCGGUGUAGGAUGAGCUCGCGGCCUAUCAGCUUGUUGGUGGGGUAAUGGCCUACCAAGGCGGCUACGGGUAGCCGGCCUGAGAGGGUGUACGGCCACAUUGGGACUGAGAUACGGCCCAGACUCCGACGGGAGGCAGCAGUGGGGAAUAUUGCACAAUGGGCGCAAGCCUGAUGCAGCGACGCCGCGUGGGGGAUGAAGGCCUUCGGGUUGUAAACUACUUUCGCUAGGGACGAAGCUUUUUGUGACGGUACCUAGAUAAGAAGCACCGGCUAACUACGUG